rnacentral:rRNA from 1 species
AGCAGCCGCGGUAAUUCCAGCUCCAAUAGCGUAUAUUAAAGUUGUUGCAGUUAAAAAGCUCGUAGUUGAAUUUCGGGAUCAGCGCGUCGGUCGUGCCUCCGGUAUGCACUGGCGCCGCUGGCUUCUCCCUUCUGAGGAACCGUGAUGUCAUUAAUUUGGUGUUGCGGGAAAUCAGGACUGUUACUUUGAAAAAAUUAGAGUGUUUAAAGCGGGCACGCGCUUGAAUACAUUAGCAUGGAAUAACGAAAUAGGACGUUCGAUCUUAUUUUGUUGGUUUCUAGGAUUGACGUAAUGAUUAAUAGGGAUAGUUGGGGGCAUUAGUAUUCAAUUGUCAGAGGUGAAAUUCUUGGAUUUAU